AGGGUCGCUGGGAAAACUAAGCCUUACUGUCCAUCUUGCCUUCAGGAUAAUGUGAAAUAUGGCCUAAUUUUUGAAGUUUUUUUCUUAGAAAUUUUACUGAAUCCAAAAUAAAACAAGAAGAUCAUGGUGGAUAUAGCUUCCAAAUUUAUUCUGCAAUAAAACAGAUGGCAGUAGAGUUAAAGAAAAAAAUCCCAGCAGUUCUUUGUACAGGGAUUUGGUGAUUUUUCCCAUAAAGCUGCGAUGAGGAUGAACUCAGAGCAAAAUCUAUGGGGAGUUUUAUACCUGGUAUACUAUUUGUAGCCUUCGUAGAGGGUUCUCCAUUCUAGUCACACCGAUUUCCUCUCUGCUGCAGACAUUGGACACUGGCCUAGUGUUCCAGAAGCUCUGAGUUCAGAGUCCUCAUGUACUAAUGCCAGCAACAGUCAGUUUCACAGUGCCUCUGGCCAGCUGCACUCUUAUGCAACUCAACAAUUUCUCACCUUUUCUCCUUUUAAAAACAAUAUAAGCAACAAAACCACCCAGCUCCCACUGCUGCAUAACCCAGAAGUAUUGGAAAGAUCACUUCAUACAAUUCUUGAGGCAAUCCUGCAGGAUCAAGCAAUUAGGUCCUUGGAGUGGUGGCCAGCUCAUCAAAGCCUCUUUGUACUGGUGCUUCCCCUGAUCCUGUUUUGUUCCCUUGUCCCUCUUUCCUGCUCCUAGCUAGGAUCACACUCCCCAAUAAAGUUUUUGAACAAUG
rnacentral:lncRNA from 1 species